CUUUGCCUCGCUGUGACAUCUUUGGUAUAUUCCAACUUGUUGCUUGGUCUUUAUGGGCUACACGGUGCCUCGAAGAUCACCAUGAUCGCCUCCGACUCAGCCACAUCGAAGAAUCAAAAUGAGCCUGGAGACGCCACAGCCGGAAUGCAAAAGGUUGGAGAGGUGCUCAUUCAGAUGAUCCUGGCACAGCUUGCCAUGGUGGACCAGGCAAGUUUGCAAGGGCCUUGAUUCACCAUGUGUUCACUGAGGAGAACCUCAUGGGCCACUUACUUCUCGGAAACACCACCACGAAUAGGCAAAAAGAGGCUCUUGGCCUUAUCAGGGUCAACGCUGUUAUAGGCUUUACCUGUCACAAGUUUCCUGGGACAAACAUGACCUACAUUAAGAACACUCUGGCCUCACUUCUCGCAAGGGACCUGAAGUGUCCUGAAGAGCUCAAGUCUGUGGACAGUUCAAGUGUUGUGCACUUGCAGCCCUGAACAUUUUUUUUAUUAUUAUGUUUCUAGUCACCUGAAAAGCCCAGGUGGGAUGGUUCAGACACAAGUACUGUGUUUUGAUUAAUAAUUAAUUGCACAAGUGUUGCGCUUUGUAUUUUAGUACAUUUUUACGUAAAUCUUUAAUAUAUUCCUACAAAAGCUAGUGUUUCUUGACUAUUUUAUUUCAUAGGUAUCUCGGGUCAUUUCAUACCAAGGCUGUUCCAUGACGGCACACCAUUUCAAGUUUGUUUGAUAAAGUAAAAGUAGGCCCAGUGGGAAAUUUUACAGAAAGUUAGGUUUCAUACGUACACCGGAAAGUGGAAUCUGUGCUAUUGUCAGAGUGGUUCUGUUUAAGAAAAACUACAUAUUAACAUAUGUUUGUAGUAAUGGUUUAUUUUGCUAUUUCAAAACAGUAAGAAUUAAGUGUUAAAGUUUGCUUAAAUUCAGAGUGCAACAACAGUUCUCGGGCAAGGCAGCGAUGUGCUUUCUUUCAUGUAUGCAUGAAAUCUGAUUUCUUGUAAAUUCUUUCAUUCCAACUUGUUUUGCGGCACUCAAAAUUAAACAAAAUUUCCUCAUGCCAGUUUCAUUUAAGGCUUCCAGCAGGUAACUAAUGGCCACUGUGUAUCAGAUAAAAAUCUUAAGUAGUCAAAGUGAAUAAAUCACUUGGUAUGUAAU